UACGGAGGGUGCAAGCGUUAAUCGGAAUUACUGGGCGUAAAGCGUGCGCAGGCGGUUUGUUAAGUCUUCUGUGAAAUCCCCGAGCUCAACUUGGGAAUUGCAGUGGAUACUGGCAGGCUGGAGUAUGGUAGAGGAAGGUGGAAUUCCCGGUGUAGCAGUGAAAUGCGUAGAGAUCGGGAGGAACACCAGUGGCGAAGGCGGCCUUCUGGACCAAUACUGACGCUCAUGCACGAAAGCGUGGGGAGCAAACAGG
rnacentral:rRNA from 1 species